rnacentral:rRNA from 1 species
UUAACACCGGAGCUUGCUCCACCGGGAAAAGAGGAGUGGCGAACGGGUGAGUAACACGUGGGUAACCUGCCCAUCAGAAGGGGAUAACACUUGGAAACAGGUGCUAAUACCGUAUAACAAUCGAAACCGCAUGGUUUCGUUUUGAAAGGCGCUUUACGGUGCCGCUGAUGGAUGGACCCGCGGUGCAUUAGCUAGUUGGUGAGGUAACGGCUCACCAAGGCCACGAUGCAUAGCCGACCUGAGAGGGUGAUCGGCCACAUUGGGACUGAGACACGGCCCAAACUCCUACGGGAGGCAGCAGUAGGGAAUCUUCGGCAAUGGACGAAAGUCUGACCGAGCAACGCCGCGUGAGUGAAGAAGGUUUUCGGAUCGUAAAACUCUGUUGUUAGAGAAGAACAAGGGUGAGAGUAACUGUUCACCCCUUGACGGUAUCUAACCAGAAAGCCACGGCUAACUACGUGCCAGCAGCCGCGGUAAUACGUAGGUGGCAAGCGUUGUCCGGAUUUAUUGGGCGUAAAGCGAGCGCAGGCGGUUUCUUAAGUCUGAUGUGAAAGCCCCCGGCUCAACCGGGGAGGGUCAUUGAAACUGGAGACUUGAGUGCAGAGAGGAGAGUGGAAUUCCAUGUGUAGCGGUGAAAUGCGUAGAUAUAUGGAGGAACACCAGUGGCGAAGGCGGCUCUCUGGUCUGUAACUGACGCUGAGGCUCGAAAGCGUGGGGAGCAAACAGGAUUAGAUACCUUGGUAGUGCACGCCGUAAACGAUGAGUGCUAAGUGUUGGAGGGUUUCCGCCCUUCAGUGCUGCAGCUAACGCAUUAAGCACUCCGCCUGGGGAGUACGACCGCAAGGUUGAAACUCAAAGGAAUUGACGGGGGCCCGCACAAGCGGUGGAGCAUGUGGUUUAAUUCGAAGCAACGCGAAGAACCUUACCAGGUCUUGACAUCCUUUGACCACUCUAGAGAUAGAGCUUCCCCUUCGGGGGCAAAGUGACAGGUGGUGCAUGGUUGUCGUCAGCUCGUGUCGUGAGAUGUUGGGUUAAGUCCCGCAACGAGCGCAACCCUUAUUGUUAGUUGCCAUCAUUUAGUUGGGCACUCUAGCAAGACUGCCGGUGACAAACCGGAGGAAGGUGGGGAUGACGUCAAAUCAUCAUGCCCCUUAUGACCUGGGCUACACACGUGCUACAAUGGGAAGUACAACGAGUCGCGAAGUCGCGAGGCUAAGCUAAUCUCUUAAAGCUUCUCUCAGUUCGGAUUGUAGGCUGCAACUCGCCUACAUGAAGCCGGAAUCGCUAGUAAUCGCGGAUCAGCACGCCGCGGUGAAUACGUUCCCGGGCCUUGUACACACCGCCCGUCACACCACGAGAGUUGUACACCCGAAGUCGU